AUUGAACGCUGGCGGCAGGCUUAACGCAUGCAAGUCGAGCGGUAACAGAGAGAAGCUUGCUUCUCUGCUGACGAGCGGCGGACGGGUGAGUAAUGCCUAGGAAUCUGCCUAGUAGUGGGGGAUAACUUGCCGAAAGGUAAGCUAAUACCGCAUACGUCCUACGGGAGAAAGGAGGGGACCUUCGGGCCUUUCGCUUUUAGAUGAGCCUAGGUCGGAUUAGUUAGUUGGUGAGGUAAUGGCUCACCAAGACCGCGAUCCGUAACUGGUACUGAGAGGAUGAUCAGUCACACUGGAACUGAGACACGGUCCAGACUCCUACGGGAGGCAGCAGUGGGGAAUAUUGGACAAUGGGGGGAACCCUGAUCCAGCCAUGCCGCGUGUGUGAAGAAGGUCUUAGGAUUGUAAAGCACUUUAAGUUGGGAGGAAGAGCAGUUAACUAAUAUUUGACUGUUUUGACGUUACCGACAGAAUAAGCACCGGCUAACUUCGUGCCAGCCGCCGCCGUAA
rnacentral:rRNA from 1 species